UACGGAGGGUGGAAGCGUUAAUCGGAAUUACUGGGCGUAAAGCGCAUGCAGGCGGCUUGUUAAGUCGGAUGUGAAAGCCCCGGGCUCAACCUGGGAAUUGCAUUCGAUACUGGCAAGCUAGAGUAUGUGAGAGGGGGGUAGAAUUCCAAGUGUAGCGGUGAAAUGCGUAGAGAUUUGGAGGAAUACCAGUGGCGAAGGUGGCCCCCUGGCACACUACUGACGCUCAGGUGCGAAAGCGUGGGAAGCAAACAGG
rnacentral:rRNA from 1 species